rnacentral:rRNA from 1 species
GACCUGGCUGGGCGGUCUUGCCGAAAGGUAAGCACUGCUCUGGUCGGGUCUUUCCUUCUGGGGAACCAGCGUGCUCUUAAUUGAGUGCGCUGGGGAUCCAGGACUUUUACUUUGAAAAAAUUAGAGUGUUCAAAGCAGGCGCAUGCCUGAAUAGAUUAGCAUGGAAUAAUGGAAUAGGAC